rnacentral:rRNA from 1 species
GCGAACGGGUGAGUAAUACGUGAGUAACCUGCCCUUGACUCUGGGAUAAGCCCGGGAAACUGGGUCUAAUACUGGAUGCUACAUGUCACCGCAUGGUGGUGUGUGGAAAGGGUUUACUGGUCUUGGAUGGGCUCACGGCCUAUCAGCUUGUUGGUGAGGUAAUGGCUCACCAAGGCGACGACGGGUAGCCGGCCUGAGAGGGUGACCGGCCACACUGGGACUGAGACACGGCCCAGACUCCUACGGGAGGCAGCAGUGGGGAAUAUUGCACAAUGGGCGAAAGCCUGAUGCAGCGACGCCGCGUGAGGGAUGACGGCCUUCGGGUUGUAAACCUCUUUCAGCAGGGAAGAAGCCACAAGUGACGGUACCUGCAGAAGAAGCGCCGGCUAACUACGUGCCAGCAGCCGCGGUAAUACGUAGGGCGCAAGCGUUGUCCGGAAUUAUUGGGCGUAAAGAGCUCGUAGGCGGUUUGUCGCGUCUGCUGUGAAAGCCCGGGGCUUAACCCCGGGUGUGCAGUGGGUACGGGCAGACUAGAGUGCAGUAGGGGAGACUGGAAUUCCUGGUGUAGCGGUGGAAUGCGCAGAUAUCAG